rnacentral:lncRNA from 1 species
GCAAGACUCUGUCUGAAAAAAAUAAAAAUAAAUAAAUAAAAAAGAAAGCACAACUUAUUCUGGACAUGGCGGCUCACCUCAGCCUCCCAAAGUGCUGGGAUUACAGGCAUGAGUUACUGCACCCGGCUAAGACCUUUAUUUAAAGCCAAGCCCAGCCAUGGAUUUGUGCCAUUAAAUACCUAUAAGUUGGAUGAUCCUCUGCUCUUGAGGUUCCAAAGUAAACUUGGGGCUCCUGGGCCUGUCAGAAAGUGACAUUCUUUACUUACCACAGGUCAGGAACCCUGUACAGGGAAGGUAUGAGGCCAGUUUCCCCAAGGGGCUUUAUUGGCUCCAUAAGUCAAGUUUGAUUCCCUAAAGGAAAGCACACCAUUCCAGUCAGAGCCUUGGUAAAAUAACCAGUUUCUCUGUUUGUGUCCUGUUGCAAAAUGAAAACAGAUUCUUACUAUACUUAUGCAAAUUACGAUAUUGCCAUCAGUUAAGCAUAUUCAAAAAUAAUUCCCAAGUUCUGGAGAAAUCAGGUAGAGAGAAACAAAUAUGCUCCAAAUUAUAGUCAUAGGAGUAUACUAAAUUGUUAAAAGCUGUCAAUAGCUCAAAAGAAAAGUUUCCUUGACUCUGAAAAAAAAACAAAGAAUCAGCAACAUUUAAAGCAAAAGUCAAAAAGAUUACUUUAGUCUUCUAUCAGUUCAGUUUAUGCAAUUAACUCCUGUUCUGCUUGAUACUCAUGAACAUUUCAGCUCUCCAUGAGAGUCCUGAAAGUUUCUUUUUUCCUCUAUUCUAGUGUCACAACUUCCAAAGUUAUCAGAAACCUGCAUUUAAGAACACCUGUUAAGAGUUCUAUAGCUGAUUAUAAAACCACCUUCUAAAGAGGGCCAAAACAAGACAACAAUUGUCUGUGGAUGACAAACAGUUUUAGAGCAGCCAUAGUCAAAGACACAAUUGACAAGGACAUUUGUUACCUCUGUGGCACACAAUAAUUUAACAUAGGAAUUAUAAUUAUUACUGAUAAGGUACACUUAAGUUAUAUCACUAGAUGUUUCUCACUAUGUACACUAAGUUAUAAUUAUAGGAGUUUCCCAUAAUUUUGGAACACAUACCAAUAACAUAUUUAUAUAAACGUAGCCCAAAGAAAACCAAACACUAUAUUAUAUGUGACAAUGAUUCCUGUAUAAUUUUUAUACCAGAUAAGCCAAAUAUGUCAUUUUUGGACUUCAGGGAACCUAUUAAUAAUACCUUAAAGGAUUAAUUAAAUCAGAAAAAGACAUAAUUUAUAAUUUGAUUUUGGAAAGUUUGUCAAAUAUCAAAGGUUUAAAACACUUGAUAUCACAAAAUAGGAUCACAGGUCAUUGUUAAAUAAGUUAUUCAUUUAACCAAAGUGAUAAUUCAGGGAUUUCAAAGAAAAGGUGAAAACCUUCAUUCUUUGAGAGAGGAUAUUUAGUUUUCCAAACAAUAAGCCCUGACAAAAACAGCACAGGCUGGGUGCAGUGGCUCACACUUGUAAUCCCAGCACUUUGGGAGGCCAAGGGGAGGGGUGGAUUACUGGAGGUCAGGAAUUCGAGACCAGCCUGACCCAUAUACUGAAACCCCAUCUCUACUAAAAAUACAAAAAAUUUAAUCCCAGCACUUUGGGAGGCUGAGGCAGGUGGAUCACAAGGUCAGAUCGAGACCAUCCUGGCUAACAUGGUGAAAC